UGAGUAAGCCAGGCGGUCGCGCGGGGCGUUAGCCCCGUGAGGAAAGUCCGGACUCCGCAGGGCAAGGGUGCCGGAUAACGUCCGGCGCGGGUGACUGUAGGGAAAGUGCAACAGAAACAUACAGCCGAUGGCCGCCUAGCGGCACAGGCAAUGGUGAAAUGGCGAGUUAAGAGCUCACCGGAGGCGCGGAGACGCGUCUGCCGUGUAAACCCCACUCGGAGCAAUGGCGAAGGGCAUACCCGCGAACGCGGGGGAGGCGGCCCGCUUCCGCCCGGUAUGGUGGCCAGCAGGAGAACGGUUGCUUCGCGGCAGCAGUUCCGGAGGCAGGCGGCAACGUCUGUCCCAGAUAGAUGAUCGUCCACGACAGAAUCCGGCUUACGGCUUACUCAUAAU
rnacentral:RNase_P_RNA from 1 species